rnacentral:rRNA from 1 species
CGUGGAACCUGCCCAAGAGAUCGGGAUAACACUGGAAACAGAUGCUAAUACCGGAUAACAACAGAUGAUGCCUAUCAACUGUUUAAAAGAUGGUUCUGCUAUCACUCUUGGAUGGACCUGCGGUNCAUUAGCUAGUUGGUAGGGUAACGGCCUACCAAGGUGAUGAUGCAUAGCCGAGUUGAGAGACUGAUCGGCCACAUUGGGACUUAGACACGGCCCAAACUCCUACGGGAGGCAGCAGGU